rnacentral:tRNA from 1 species
GCGCCUGUGACGGAAUUGGCAGACGUGCCGGAUUUAGGUUCCGGUGCUGCAAAGCGUAUGGGUUCAAGUCCCUUCAGGCGCACCA